GCGGUUCUCAACCUAUGGGACUGCGACCCUUUUGGGGGUCACACAACCCCUUCACAGGGGUCACCUAAGACCAUUGGAAAACACAGAGAUUUACAUUACAAUUCAUGACAGUACCAAAAUUACAGUUAUGAAAUAGCAACAAAAAUAAUUUUAUGAUUGGGAGUCACCACAAAACAAGGAACUAUCUUAAAGGGUCGCAGCAUCAGGAAGGCUGAGAACCACUGCUUCUAGAACAUUUUGGGAUCUGGGUUUUCAACAGAUGAGGCCAAAGGAGAAAGCAUGUUGAGACCCUAGGGUGGCUCUGUGGAUGCUGGUGACCUAAACUGCUUCUGUACUGACGCUGUCAACCCCUUGGAGUGAGGGGUGCUUCUAACUAGAAUCACCUGUGGCAAUUCCUAAUGUGGAAGAUCUGGAAAUGCCUGGUCAAACUAUGGAGUUACCCAAGCAUUGCAAACCAGCCAGUUACGGAAAGCACCUGCUGGAGGAGAACACAGCCCACAGAGCAGCACAUGGCUUCUCUCUAAAUGGCUGAUGGUAAAGGGCUUUCCUCUUGUGAAGGAG
rnacentral:lncRNA from 1 species